CCUACGGGAGGCAGCAGUAGGGAAUCUUUCACAAUGGGCGAAAGCCUGAUGGAGCAACGCCGCGUGCAGGAUGAAGGCCUUCGGGUUGUAAACUGCUUUUAUAAGCGAGAAAUAUGUUGGUAACUUAUGAAUAAGGAUCGGCUAACUACGUGCCAGCAGCCGCGGUCAUACGUAGGAUCCGAGCAUUAUCCGGAGUGACUGGGUGUAAAGAGUUGCGUAGGUGGCAUAAUAAGUAGCUAGUGAAAUCUGGUGGCUCAACCAUUCAGACUAUUAGCUAAACUGUUAAGCUCGAGACCGUUAGGGGUAACUGGAAUUUCUAGUGUAGGAGUGAAAUGCGUAGAGAUUAGAAGGAACACCAAUGGCGUAGGCAGGUUACUGGAACGGUUCUGACACUAAGGCACGAAAGCGUAGGGAGCAAACGGGAUUAGAUACCCUGGUAGUC
rnacentral:rRNA from 1 species